rnacentral:lncRNA from 15 species
AAGCUGGAGGUUUUUGGGGGUGGGGGAUGAUGUUGUGGUGGGAAUAAAGUGAUAAAGAAAUUUUUUAAAAUGCUGGCACCAGCAAAAUAUGACGCCCCCACUUCAGAACAAUACGCCGCCGCCUGCAGCAACAGCAAAGGUAAUCCUCUAGCCUGAUGUCUGCAGAGACUCAUUGGGCAUGGGAGGUCGCAGGAGGCGCUGCUGUCAGCAUCUCAACUCGGAAGCACCCAUGCUUUGGCCGAUUUCAUCUAAAUGCGAAAUCACCUGUUUGAUCCCCCAAACAGCAGAACAUGUGGAAGUGAGAGAGGGAGGAGGAGAGUGAGCAAGAGAAGAGGGUGUUGAUCCAACUUAUGACAGCAGACUGCAGGGGAGGAGCUUUGUCCUGGGUGACCUCUGCUUGUGCUGCAGCAGAGGAUAUCAUGCCUGUGUCACAUUUUGUCUUGAUUAGAUACAAUAUGACAAGUACACAUAUGUGUGUGAAGGUGCAGUACCGGCAGUAGUAUAAAAAGCAAAGUUUAUUUGAGUCCAAUGUGAGACCAAAAGUCUACACUGAUUUCAGGUACGAUCUUUUCCUAAACCUAUCCAAGUAGUUUUGU